CUCUCUCUCUCUCUCUCUUCCUAUUUUCUGGGUUUGAAAACUUCAGCUCUCCCUAAAUUUUAAUAUGAAAGAAGAACCUUAAAAUUGUUGAAAGGAAAGCACUAGAACAGAAGAAAAAAAGAUCAAAUUUUCUUCUCUUGUACCACUUUACAAGGACAGACGCACAAACCCAAAAAAAUAAAGUAGAAUCACGAAUCCAUCCCCUGAGCAGGGAAAAUAAUAAAUAUAAUAAACAUAGCAGGACAUACCCAGAAAGGAACAAACUUUAAUAUUAUACACUAAAUAAAAGAGCAAGAAACCAACUUUUUCUUACCAGAAGAAAUGGAUCCAAGAACCA
rnacentral:misc_RNA from 1 species